CUGUACAGGAAGAGGGAAAGAUGCUUCACCAUCAGCCAACUGCAUCCACUGGAAAGAGGUAAGUGUGUGUGUGUGACUGUUUGCCUGUUUGUGUGACUGUCUGUGUGUGUGUGUGACUGUCUGUGUGACUGCCUGCCUGUGUGCGUGUGACUGUCUGUGUGUGUGUGUGUGUGUGUGACUGUCUGUGUGACUGCCUGUCCUUGUG